GACAGAGGUGCCGAGCGUUUAGGCGGAAUCACUGGGCUUAAAGCGUGUGUAGGCGGGCGGGCAAGUACCUUGUGAAAUCCCACGGCUCAACCGUGGAACUGCUGGGUAUACUGCUCGUCUUGAGCCAAUCAGGGGGCGAGCGGAACAGACGGUGGAGCGGUGAAAUGCGUAGAGAUCCGGAAGAACACCGGUGGCGAAGGCGGUCUGCUGGGCAGUAGCUGACACUGAGGCGCGACAGCG
rnacentral:rRNA from 1 species